UACGAACUGUGCAAACGUUAUUCGGAAUCACUGGGCUUAAAGGGUGCGUAGGCGGCUGUUUAAGUAGGGUGUGAAAGCUCCCGGCUCAACCGGGGAAUGGCGCUCUAAACUGGACAGCUUGAGUGAGACAGGGGUGUGCGGAACUGCCGGUGGAGCGGUGAAAUGCGUUGAGAUCGGCAGGAACGCCAGUGGCGAAAGCGGCACACUGGGUCUCGUCUGACGCUGAGGCACGAAAGCAUGGGUAGCGAACGGG
rnacentral:misc_RNA from 1 species